UAUUCCUAGAUCGUAUUAAGUAUAAAUUUUACAGGUGAUAGACAUUACGAUAGACUUGGAAAAAAGGAAUAACCCAACGAUAUUAUUCUCUACAUAUUCAUAGGCAUUCAUAGGAUUAAGAAUAAACAUAAAACAAAUGACAUCCUUAAUCUCUUAUUUACGUAGACUUAGGUCUAAAAGAUUGAUUAAAGACAGAAGAA
rnacentral:lncRNA from 1 species